rnacentral:rRNA from 1 species
UAUGCUAAUACGGGAUAACAUAUGAGAGUCGCAUGGCUUUCAUAUCAAAGCUCCGGCGGUACAGGAUGGACCCGCGUCUGAUUAGCUAGUUGGUAAGGUAACGGCUUACCAAGGCAACGAUCAGUAGCCGACCUGAGAGGGUGAUCGGCCACAUUGGAACUGAGACACGGUCCAAACUCCUACGGGAGGCAGCAGUGGGGAAUAUUGCACAAUGGGCGAAAGCCUGAUGCAGCAACGCCGCGUGAGCGAUGAAGGCCUUCGGGUCGUAAAGCUCUGUCCUCAAGGAAGAUAAUGACGGUACUUGAGGAGGAAGCCCCGGCUAACUACGUGCCAGCAGCCGCGGUAAUACGUAGGGGGCUAGCGUUAUCCGGAAUUACUGGGCGUAAAGGGUGCGUAGGCGGUCUUUCAAGCCAGAAGUGAAAGGCUACGGCUCAACCGUAGUAAGCUUUUGGAACUGUAGGACUUGAGUGCAGGAGAGGAGAGUGGAAUUCCUAGUGUAGCGGUGAAAUGCGUAGAUAUUAGGAGGAACACCAGUAGCGAAGGCGGCUCUCUGGACUGU